CGGAGGAUCCAAGCGUUAUCCGGAAUCAUUGGGUUUAAAGGGUCCGUAGGCGGUUUAGUAAGUCAGUGGUGAAAGCCCAUCGCUCAACGGUGGAACGGCCAUUGAUACUGCUAGACUUGAAUUAUUAGGAAGUAACUAGAAUAUGCAGUGUAGCGGUGAAAUGCUUAGAGAUUACAUGGAAUACCAAUUGCGAAGGCAGGUUACUACUAAUGGAUUGACGCUGAUGGACGAAAGCGUGGGUAGCGAACAGGAUUAGAUACCCUGGUAGUCCACGCCGUAAACGAUGGAUACUAGCUGUUGGGAGCGAUCUCAGUGGCUAAGCGAAAGUGAUAAGUACCCCACCUGGGGAGUACGUUCGCAAGAAUG
rnacentral:rRNA from 1 species